rnacentral:rRNA from 1 species
UACGUAGGGGGCAAGCGUUGUCCGGAAUUAUUGGGCGUAAAGAGCGCGUAGGCGGUUUGUUGCGUCGGCUGUGAAAUCCCGAGGCUCAACCUCGGGUCUGCAGUCGAUACGAGCAAACUAGAGUGUUGCAGGGGGAGACUGGAAUUCCUGGUGUAGCGGUGAAAAUGCGCAGAUAUCAGGAGGAACACCGGUGGCGAAGGCGGGGUCUCUGGGGCAACAACUGACGCUGAGGAGCGAAAGCGUGGGGGAGCGAACAGG